CCUACGGGGUGCUGCAGUGAGGAAUAUUGGUCAAUGGACGAGAGUCUGAACCAGCCAAGUAGCGUGAAGGAUGACUGCCCUAUGGGUUGUAAACUUCUUUUAUAUGGGAAUAAAAUGUUCCACGUGUGGGAUUUUGUAUGUACCAUAUGAAUAAGGAUCGGCUAACUCCGUGCCAGCAGCCGCGGUAAUACGGAGGAUCCGAGCUUUAUCCGGAUUUAUUGGGUUUAAAGGGAGCGUAGGUGGAUUGUUAAGUCAGUUGUGAAAGUUUGCGGCUCAACCGUAAAAUUGCAGUUGAAACUGGCAGUCUUGAGUACAGUAGAGGUGGGCGGAAUUCGUGGUGUAGCGGUGAAAUGCUUAGAUAUCACGAAGAACUCCGAUUGCGAAGGCAGUUCACUGGACUGCAACUGACACUGAGGCUCGAAAGUGUGGGUAUCAAACAGGAUUAGAUACCCCAGUAGUC
rnacentral:rRNA from 1 species